UUUUGGAUUCCUUUCUCUGCGUGUUGAACGAGUGGAUUACUCAAAUCGAUGGAGCCAGCUAAACAGACUUUUUUGGAUAUAAAGACGGAUUUUAUCUAACAAAACGUCCAUGCAUGUUGCAGCUGGGACCCUUGGAAUUGCAAAUCAGAGGAAGAUUUUCAAAAAUUUGUCAAAUGCAGUGUACCUGCUGCGAGAGAUGGAGGGGAUGAGAGGCAAGAACAUCAAUCUCUUCUUCAUGUAUGACAUUGCAUGCAAGAUGCAGCCACAUGUGCAAAAACUUUCCUGAAUUGAAGCAUGAGACCAAGUUCGUUAUGCCAGUUUUCCAUGCUUAUGGACAUGACUUGCCAUGUCAGUAUUUAGAACCUUGCUGAUGACAGAAAACUGAAGACGAUGGAGAGGAAGAAAAGCAUCCUCCAUCGAUGGUCCCCCUCCAGCAGUCGCUUCCAGACUGCACUCCACAGACCGCAGAGCCACA
ensembl:lncRNA